rnacentral:lncRNA from 1 species
AUGCAGCUGAUUUCUGUGAGAAGAGUAACCAGGAAGAUGUCUUCCCUUCAGUACAUCCUGGGACACACUAGUGACAACUCUCACCAGAGCUGGUUCUGGUUUAAUGGCUUAGUUCCCAAGACCAGGGGAGGCGGGCUGAGGGAAAGGGCAGAGGCCGUGAGUGGCAGUAGUAUGGGCAGCAGUGGGGCCCAGGAGAGAGCAAGAGCAAGAAGGAGCUGGGUGGACCGUGAGGCUGAGAUAGUUUGUCCUCUCCCCUGCUCUAGCCUGGUGGGUGUGUGCAGCUCCCCGCCAACCAUGCCCAGCAGAAAAGUGUCCUGGCUGCACGGGAAGCUCUGUUCAUUGUGCAUCUCUUCAGAAAGACACAAAACUCGGUCCAGCCUCCCAAACUUGUAACCAUAGUUGGGAAUAUAAGUCUGUCUUACAUGAAGAAGCAGUGUAGCCUUUUUCAUUUAGUAGCCAUGCAGCUGGGGCAAGUUAGCUUCUUUUUGAGCCCACUUCGCUCAUGUGGGGAUAAUAGCAGUUCCUACCUUGUAGGGUUGUUAUGAGGAUUGAGUGAACACAAAUGCCUUAAUAUUUGUGAAGUGCUUAGUACAGGACCUGGCACAAAGUAAGUGCUCCAACUGCGCUCAUUGUCAUUGUGAGACAAGCAAUAACCUCAGCUACCUUGUGGUUAAGCACAAAAUCCUUCGUCUCAGCAGAGAGUCGACAAUAGAUGCAGUAAAAUUUGACUCCUCCCCUACUGCAAAUGCUUCCCUAGACAUAAACUCUUUGGCCUGAGCUCCUGUUUGCCAGAAAAGCAGGAGACAUUGUACUCACCUGGAUAAGGGUCACCUCCAGAGCUUAGGUAAGUCUGUUUGACCCCAGUACCACCUGGUUUAUAUAAUAGUGUUUUCAUUCAUCUAACAAAUAUUUGCUAAUAUUCCAAGCAUUAAGAAAGGGUUUUGAUGAUGCUGACUAGAGGAAGAGAGCAUUGGGCCUGAAGGUACUGAGUCUAACAUGUAGGAUAAGCUGGUAUAACACAGAUAUCCAAAUAGAACAGCUAAAUAAGACAGAAGUUUAUUUCUGUCUUGUGUAAGCCCCAGGGAAGGCACACCAAGGUGGCAAAGUAGGUCCAUGAACUCAUUCAUGGACCCAGGUUUCUUACUAUUUUGCAUCUCUAAGUCUGUGUUUCAGGGCGUGGGAAGUAGGUGAUGAAAUCCAAGACAAGGAGCUAAUAAUUAAGAAGCAUCCACUCCCAUCCCAAUGGUUGGAACUUGGUCAUAUGGCCACAGGUAGCUGCAAGGGAUGUUGGGAAAUGCAGUCUAGAGCAGAUGGCCAGGUGCCUAUGCAAAACUUGGGAGUGGAGGUUAUUAUAAGAAGAAAGAAGGGAGAAUGAAUACUGGAGGGAAGCUGGCAGUUUAUAUCAAUGAUUCAGGAAGAUAGGGAAGUAAAGGAAUACUCUAACAGACAAAUGCUCAACAGCCCCAGCUGUAAUCCUUGAGUCCAGAAAUAUGUUGUGGCCCUCAUGGGAGCUUGGGAUUUAGAGUCAGACUUUUGGGUUCAAAUCCCAGUUCUAUCACUUACCACAGGGUUGGUAUAAGAAUUAAGUAAGUCAAUCCAUAUGGUGCUUUUAGGAUAUGUAUGGUCUUGUCCAGAGCCAAUGCUCAGCAAGUGUGAGCUAUUACUGUUAGAGAGGGAUGUGUCAAGAAAGUCAAUGACUCAGGAUCUGGGGAAUUGCUCAUGGACUGGCUACCUCCUUUGGUUUUAUAGCUUCCCAUACUCCUUGUCUCUCCGGAUGCAAGCACUGGGCCUUGAACCCUCGGCCCAUCUCAUUGCAGAGAAAUGUUAAUGAAAACAAGCAAGGCCAUCUGAUGGGGUCAGUGUUUUGAAAAAAUAGAGUCAAUUUAUGUUUGCCUGGACUGGACCUAGGGGAUGAAUUUAGAGAGGAUAUUUCAAGGUCAGCUUUCUAUUGCUUGAGUAGGAGCCAGUGAAUUUAAUACAUGGUCUAUAAGCCUCUGUGGGGAAAGCAAGAGCCCUUCUUUAUUGGGUGUGUCUCUAGGUAAAGAGCUUGAGAAAUUACUUUAAAAUUUUCCUAUGUAGCUAAGUAAAAGGGAUAGUGAGGCCUCACAGGAGCUGGGGAAAUCUUUGCCCUUGGGGAAGCCCCUGGUGGCCUGUCUAGGCCCCCCCCAGCAAGAGGGGGAAAGUGGAAAAGCUGCCCCUGCUGGAUGCUGUACUGGCAAGAGUUGGGGUGUCCUCUUACUGGGAGCUGGUGUUCUAUGAUAUGCAGAAGGUGUCAUGUUUUCCAUCUCCUGCAGAUGUCAUAUGGAAAGAGAAUCUUCCUAGCUUCAGAACAAGAGACUUAACUUUCCUUGGCAACUCACACAGUGGGUAGAUCUUAGCAGAAAAAUAAACAGACACUGAAAGAUGAUUUUCUACCAGUUUUCUGCACUGUCUUAUUUUCAGAGGCUUGAGGAGGUUUUAUACCCUUUUUAACCCCAGAUCUGGGAAUCAGGCCACACACUACGCUGGAAAAAAGUAGCAUUGGAUGCUGACUCACAAUGGGUACCAUUUUUGACACCCUAAAAACAUCUAAUGGCCUCCCAGGCAAUGGGGUGGACAUACAGGAGGGAGCACAUGUUGGAAGACUCACAUGUGUUUAGGACCGCACCUGUGCCUGUUGGAGAGCCAGCAGAGGUGGGCCAGGGCUGGGAAUGGGGCAUCUGAAGGAUUGGGUAGGAGCUAGCUCACAGGCAAGUAGGCAGGUGGUUGUAUCCCUCCUGCCUGCCUCUCGUAACCUUGGCUGACCUCCUGGUCUUGACUUCUUGGUGUCAUGAAGAUCCUAUACCUGGCUAGCCUGGUUCUGUAGGUGGUCAUGGGCUUGGGUUUUCACCCACAUUUUCUCCAGCUCUGUGAACCUCAUAUCUUCUCUCUCAUCAGUUCCCAACUGGGCCUUCACUCUUCCUUACCACUGGGGUCAAUUUUUUAUUCUCUUUCCCUUAAGGAAAUCUUAUCAAGGGAGUGGGGACAAUAGUGAGACCUGAUUCAACUAGGGUCUCCAGUUGAAACUGGGAUGCUGUCUCUGUGUGAGAUGACACUUGUAGUUUCAGGAAUGUCCCUCCCAGGGCAUCAGAUGUAUACUCUGACCACACCAUCCAGAGGUGCUAUGAUUUAAUAUUAAGUAGAGUAGAUCCUGUAAUUCUCUUGAGAACAAAAUAAUUUUUUAAAGAGAUUUAUUUAUUAAUUUUAGAGAGAGAGUGUGAGAGAGUGGGGUGAGGGUCAGAGGCAGACGGGGAGAGAUAGAAAGAGAGAGAGAAUCUCAAGCAGACUCCCCACUGAAUGUGGAGCCCGAAGUGGGGCUUGACCUCACGACCCUGAGAUCAUGACCUGAGCCGAAAGCAACAGUCACAGGCUUAACCGACUGAGCCACCCCGGUUCCUCUUGAGAGUGUAAGAAUUUUACAUUGUUAUUUGGGUUUGUGUGCGUGCAUGUGAAAAGUGUGCAUUUAUUAAGCGUGAGCCUUCCAAACAGGCCAUACAUGCUAUAAUCCUUCUUUGAAUUUCUUCAUUUUUUAAUCACCUGGGCACCUGGUUGGGGGGUGCCUCUGCUGCUCUGAGGGACUCUGUAUGCAGGCCUGCUCGAGCAGGGGUUACACAAGAGGACAAUCCAGGAAAAAUCAACAAACAUAUUUACAGGUCAUCUUUGCCCCUUCAUCAACCCAAAGAGAACCUCAUGGAGUCUCAUGGUGGGUGGGGCGUUAAGGAAUGUGGAUUCUUACAAUUUACUCUACUGAUAAUAGUAUCAGUGAGAAAAGGGGCACUGCUUUUUGAGUCAUUGAAAACGUAAUAUCCGGAUGUUUGGAGACAGUUUUCCAGUUUUUCAUUCUGAAAUUAGACGUGGGGAUGCCCACGUGAUCCUUGUCGCUGCAAGGAUGCACCCCGGCACCCUCGGACUCAUGCUCUCAGUCCAUUUCUCGCCCAGCAUAGAGCCCAGUGCAGAGUAGGUGUUUAAUAAAUGACUACUGGGCAGCAAUAUGGUAGAAUGGCUAAGAACACAGACUUCACCAGACCGCCUCCUUCUGUCACUUAGUAGCUGUGUGACUUCGGCAAGCUUCUUAACCUCUCUGGGCCUCUGUAGUAGUCUGUAAAGUGGGGAGGAUAUCAAUCCCUACCUCAUAGGUGGGGACUGAAUGAGUUAAUACAUGUGGGUACUUACAACAAUGCCUCGCGUAUACAAACCUGUGUAAGGGUUACCUGUUCUUAUAGAUAAUGCUGUUGAGCUGAGUGGAAACCCCAUGUCUAGAUAGUGCUAGAGCCUUACAGAGAAUUCUUUCCAACCCUGGCUUCUGCUUAGUUACGGUUGAUCAGAUUUUCUCUCUAGUCUCUUGUCUGUGAAAAUACAUUUGAUUUCCACAUGAAAUAACUAUAUUCCUUACUCCAAACUUCAAAAAAAAAUUGUAUUUAUGUAUUAACACAGAGAGAGAGUGAGAGAGAGAGCAAGAACACAAGCAGGGAGACGGGUAGGAGGAGCAGGAGAAACAGGCUCCCCACUGAGGAGGGAGCCUGAUAUGGGGCUCGAACCCAGGACCCUGAGAUUAUGACUUGAACUGAAGGCAGCCACUUAACUGACUAAGCCACCCCGGCACCUCUCCAAACUUUUUAUUUAAGGCUAAAAAACCCCCAAAACAAUUCCAAGUAUUUUUGAAGCAGACAUGGGUCCAUGUGUAAUAGAUAGCGCCUUGGAUUAAUAACCUGGGUGAAGGCUGCCCAACCAGAUUUGGGGAAGCUGCUCUUUUCCAAAGAAAGUGCUGGGCUCUCCCCUUCCAUCUCUCCUGACAGAAUGCCCUGCCUGUUCCCUCAGCCACUGGAUCUGGUCUUUGCAUUAACAGGAGAGCUCCUGGGUACAGAUACAGUCUGGCUCCCGGAGCCUUGUCUACCUAAUGGUUUUAUUUGUAACCACUUUAUUUUCAUUCACUGACUUUUUCUUUAAAGUUUUAAAUAUUGAAAUACAGCAUACAUACAGAAAGGAGCUCACGUGUCCGGCUCAGUACAUUUUGACAAGCUGAACUUAUCUGUGUCCUCAACACCCAGAUUAAGAAACAACAGGACAGAAACCCAGCUGUGGCUCUUCCAGUUACUACCUCACUCCUUACCGAACUCUGCCAAGGGAGAUCAUCCUGGCUCUAACCCCAUCGGAUGGAAUCUUCUAGAAUUUUCACUCAGUGUCUGGAUUUCCUCCUUCAACACUAUGAGAGUCAUUUAUAG